rnacentral:rRNA from 1 species
UACGUAGGGGGCAAGCGUUGUCCGGAAUCAUUGGGCGUAAAGAGCGUGUAGGCGGCUCGAUAAGUCCGCUGUGAAAGUCCAGGGCUCAACCCUGGAAGGCCGGUGGAAACUGUCGGGCUAGAGUCCGGAAGAGGCGAGUGGAAUUCCCGGUGUAGCGGUGAAAUGCGCAGAUAUCGGGAGGAACACCUAUGGCGAAGGCAGCUCGCUGGGACGUUACUGACGCUGAGACGCGAAAGCGUGGGGAGCAAACAGG